rnacentral:rRNA from 1 species
CACCGCGGUUAUACAAGAGACUCAAACUGAUAACACAACGGCGUAAAGAGUGGUUAAGAAAAACCCAAACUAAGGUCGCACAUCCUCAUGGUAGUGAUACACAUCCGAACAUACGAAGCCCACUCACGAAAGUAACCUUACAAAUCUGACUCCACGAAAGCUAUGACA